rnacentral:rRNA from 1 species
AGAGUUUGAUCAUGGCUCAGGAUGAACGCUAGCUACAGGCUUAACACAUGCAAGUCGAGGGGAAACGACAUCGAAAGCUUGCUUUUGAUGGGCGUCGACCGGCGCACGGGUGAGUAACGCGUAUCCAACCUGCCCACCACUUGGGGAUAACCUUGCGAAAGUAAGACUAAUACCCAAUGACGUCUCUAGAAGACAUCUGAAAGGAAUUAAAGAUUAUCGGUGAUGGAUGGGGAUGCGUCUGAUUAGCUUGUUGGCGGGGUAACGGCCACCAAGGCUACGAUCAGUAGGGGGUUCUGAGAGGAAGGUCCCCCGACAUUGGAACUGAGACACGGUCCAAACGUCCUACGGGAGGCA